AAGCUUAUAGCUCAGUUGGUUAGAGCACAACCUUGAUAAGGUUGGUUAGCGUGGGUUCAAGUCCCACUAGGCUUA
rfam:Monosiga brevicollis mitochondrion, complete genome.